AUUGAACGCUGGCGGCAGGCCUAACACAUGCAAGUCGAACGAGUGGCGGACGGGUGAGUAAUGUCUGGGAAACUGCCUGAUGGCUGGGGAUAACUACUGGAAACGGUAGCUAAUACCGCAUACCAUCAGAUGUGCCCAGAUGGGAUUAGCUAGUGGGGGGGGUAACGGCUAACCAAGGCGACGAUCCAUAGCUGGUCUGAGAGGAUGACCAGCCACACUGGAACUGAGAAACGGUCCAGACUCCUACGGGAGGAAGCAGUGGGGAAUAGUGCACAAUGGGCGCAAGCCUGAUGCAGCCAUGCCGCGUGUAUGAAGAAGGCCUUCGGGUUGUAAAGUACUGUCAGCGGGGAGGCGUUACCCGCAGAAGAAGCACCGGCUAACUCCGUGCCAGCAGCCGCGGUAAUUC
rnacentral:rRNA from 1 species